GGUGGUGUGGCUCAGUGGUAGAGUACUCACCUAGCAUGUGUGAGGCACUGGGUUCAAUCCUCAGCACCACAU
rnacentral:tRNA from 1 species